UACGGGGGGGGCAAGCGUUGUUCGGAAUUACUGGGCGUAAAGGGUGUGUAGGCGGUUGUUUAAGUUUGGUGUGAAAUCUCCCGGCUUAACCGGGAGGGUGCGCCGAAUACUGAAUGACUUGGAGUGCGGGAGAGGAAAGUGGAAUUCCUGGUGUAGCGGUGAAAUGCGUAGAUAUCAGGAGGAACACCUGUGGCGAAGGCGGCCAUCUGGACAAUGACUGACGCUAAAACACGAAAGCGUGGGGAGCAAACAGG
rnacentral:rRNA from 1 species